CUCGACAUCUGUAAUGAUUCUAUGUUCUGUGCCGGGGUAGGAGUUCUCUUUACCAUUCAGUAGAGCUAUAAUGGACUUUCCAGUGAAAUUAUUUAUCUUUUUCUUCUUCUCUUUUACGUUUCUAAACAAAACUACAGCUACACACUUCUGGCUCUCGAGAGAAAUAAUACAACACAGCAUGUAGGUUAAAAGGUAGAUUUAAAUGUCUUUAUUCUUCAGUCUUGUUCAUUCGGGAUCAUUCAUAAAAGGUGGCGUUUGACAUUUACCACAAUCAAGGUCAUUGUUCCACAAUGCGAUAAAUGUUUAAACCGCUAAAUUACACCCAGGAAAGGAUAACGCUAGUACUUCAUGCUGAUUUAAUGCUAGCGUGUCAUAUCAUUUUAAUUACCUGUGCAGAGGAGAGCAGACGGGAUGAGGGGGGAUGGAGAAGAGCGGGAUGGGGGGGACCCACCUCAAGGACUAUGAGGACCCCAUUUUAAAAAAAGAUAUAAACGCUCUCUCUAUCACAAAUUAAAUCACUCACACAGGUAUACGGCCUGAAUUAAAAUGGCUGUUUUUCAUAUCCACUGCAGUAUGAAUUGUGUUCAAUAUCUUCAAACAAUUGUAACCUUACAGGUUGAACUCAAACAAUACCCACACUAAAUGCAGUCAUUUAGAUUUUAGCAUGUCUAUAAUUAAACAGUAAAACAGUAUAAUUAUUAAAAAGGCAGUAUUUGUAUUAGUAUUUGUAUUUAUUGUGGAUCCCCGCAGCAGCUACUCUUCCUGGGGUCUGGCAAAUAUACAUUUUUUUAAACAUUAUAACACAUUCAUAACAGAUUUCAGAACAUAUUAAGUGUGUUCCCUCAGGCCUCUACUCUACUACCAAGUAGCUACAAGACAAAAUCCAUGUGUACCUGUGCGUAUAGUAUCACAAAUAAAAUAAAUAUAUGUAAUGCAUAUUUUAUCAAGUGUUUGUAUUCAUAUGUCUGUGCCAAUGUUUGUGUUGCUUCACAGUCCCCGCUGUUCCAUAAGGUGUAUUUUUAUCUGUUUUUUUAAAUCUUGAUUCUACUGCUUGCAUCACUUUCUUGAUGUGGAAUAGAGCUCCAUGUAGUCAUGGCUCUAUGUAGUACUGUGUGCCUCCCAUAAUCUGUUCUGGACUUGGGGACUGUGAAGAGACCUCUGGUGGCAUGUCUUGUGGGGGUAUAGAUGGGUGUCUGAGCUGUGUGCUUCUCACAAAUACAAGUAGUGAUGAAGUCAAUCUCUCCUCCACUUUGAGCCAGGAGAGAUUGACAUGGAUAUUAUUACAGUAUUUUACAAUCGCUAGGACCCAUUUCUCAAUACUUAGGUCACUUUUUCAUAACUCUUCACACAGUGAAAACAAUAGCAGUCUAUGUGGACUAAACUGUGGAUAAUUUUUCAUUGCUUUGGAAACAAAAUGCAUUCAAUGACUACAUCUUUCAAACGUCAUGAAUUAUUUUCUCUCACUCAGACACAACCAUCACCAAAACUCUAUGUACCUACAGGCCAAUCUGCACAUGUUUACAUACUAUUUUCAAAACUGUUAAACUUAAUAAGUUCAAAACCUAACGUAACACAACAUUGCUACAUUUCUACAGUAAUACAGUAUUGAAAUGUAUUCCAAAUCUAAAAAAUGAAAUACAAUCAAAACAAUUAGACCAACCACAGCUGAUUCCCAUUGUAGCUGAACACCUACACAGGUGUUAGUCUUUCAAUUACAUUACCAUUUAUUCAAAAGGGGACAUCUUAGGAAUAAUGCUGUACUGUAAUGUAAACAUGGACACAACCCGAGAUGGAGAAGUGGCUGACAGAGGAAGAAGAGUGGCUGGGAGAGGGAGAGGAGUAGGUGUGUGUGGUAGAAGAAGACAGAGAGGAAGAUCAAGAGCUGUAGUCUCAGAUGAGAUUAGGGCUACUAUAAUUGAUCAUGUAAUAAAUCAUGGUCUAUCAAUGAGAGAGGCUGGUCUGAGAGUGUAGUCAAAUCUGCAACGCUCAACAGUGGCAUCUAUUGUGAGAAAUUUCCGGCAAAACAACAGGUAAGAUGUGCAUUCUACAAGGGCUUCUGACUGAACUGCACAUUACAGAAGUAAAUUGAGCAAAGCCUCCAAACCCACUUGUGUGUAAUUGCUUUUUGUAUUUCUGCUUAGGACCCAACGGUUACCUCCCACAGGUGGGGGAGGUAGGAUUCUCACUGUUGUGCAAGAAACUACAAUCGUUGAUAUUGUUAUCCGAAACAAUGGCAUAAAACCUAUUGAAGCAUAUUGCAUCAUGUCUGAUUCAUUCCUGUAACAUAUACUGCAGUGAAUUGUAAACAGUAGAGAGGUGUCAUUCUUGUUUAGUAAAGACAUUUGACAGAAGAAAACAUUGUGUAAUGGUACCUGUUGUUAGUGGUUUUUAGGUCGUUGUUUUAUGAGUGACAACGUCGGCUUGUUGGGUGACACCCUUUGCUAGUGUUAUGGAAGAACGAGUUGAUUUGAGACAUGUAUGAAGUGUUUUGGUAGUUUUAGUGCAUUUUGGGAUGUGAAAUGAACUGUUGUGCCCAAGCUGAAAGUUAGUUAGUAGAACUGUGUGAAGAGUUUUGAAAAAGUGACCUAAGUAUUGAGAAAUGGUCCUAGCGAUUGUAAAAAAAAAAAAUAAAUGUAAACUGGAAAAAUGUAACCACUGUUAAAUUCAUGCGCAGAGCUGUGGAUGCAAGGACUGACCAUCUGUGACAAUUAUAGGUGUGUUUGUUUACAGUUACAUCGUUUACAAACAAUCGACUAAAAACAACCUUAUAUUUCAGUUUCUGGUGGGGUACAGAAAUUGAACUAAGCUCAUGAGGAACUUCUAAAGUUAUAUUCUUCAAGAAACAAUGGGUAUACAUCAUGUAUGGAGUCAGAAAAAUGAUGUGCCAGUCAUGUAUUACCCCUUUAAGUAUAGCUGCUGUCACAUUUGCAGACAGUGAAUCUAAUAAACAAUGCCAACCUUUUUAGACAGGUUGAAGUACUGCGUGUGAGUGACCACACUGAUAAUUAGCCGUUUGCUAAAAAAGCAAAGCCACUUAGUCAGAGUGUGGGGGGAGUAAGAAUAGGAUGCAGAGAGGAUGAAUAUGAUGGCGAGAGGUAGAAGAGGAUGGACAGGGGAGGAAGAGGAUGGCGAGAGGUAGAAGAGGAUGGACAGGGGAGGAAGAGGAUGGCGAGAGGUAGAAGAGGAUGGACAGGGGAGGAAGAGGAUGGAGAGAGGAAGAAGAGGAAGAAAAGGAUGGACAGGGGAAGAGAGGAAGACGAGGAUGGAGAGAGGAUGAAGAGUAUGAGAGAGGAAUAAGAAGAUGGAGAGGGAAUUUAAGGGAGGUGGGGAUGGAGAGAUGACGGGAGAGGGGGUGGAGAGAUGGAGAGAGGGACUGUGGUGAUGGAGAGAGAUGGAGAGAAGGAGACUUUGGGGAGGGGGAGAGGGGAUGGAGAGAGAUGGAGAGAGGGGGACUGUGGGGAGGGAGAGAGGGGAUGGAGAGAGGUGGGGAGAGGGAGAGGGGAUGGAGAGAGAUGGAGAGAGGGGAUGGAGAGAUGGAGAGUGGGGGACUGUGGGGAGGGGAGAGAGGGGAUGGAGAGAGGGACUGUUGAGAGGGUCAGAAAGGUGGAUGGGAUAGAUAAAUUGAGAUUGAGAGAUGAAGGGAAGACUGUGGGCAGGGGAAGGAGAAAGUGAUAGAGAGAUGGGAAGGAAAUAAGUGGACCAUAAUUAAUUGAAGCAACCUGGUGAUUCCCCCAGUCACAUUCCUGCUUCCUCACAGCCAACUACUCCCAACACUCCUAACCAAUCAGGCAGCUAGCACCAUUGUGUUAUCAACAGUGACAUCUGUAAUUAUUAUGUUCUAUGGGGAACAGUUCACAACAGUGACAUCUGUAAUUAUUACUAUAUGUUCUAUGCUGAGCAGUUCGUUCUCCUCUCUCCUCCUCUUUUCUUAUCUUCUCUCCUUCUCCUCUCUCCUUCUCCUAUCUCCUUCUCCUCUCUCCUUCUCCUCUCUCCUUCUCCUCCUAUCUCCUUCUCCUCUCUCCUUCCCCUUCUCCUAUCUCCUUCUCCUCUCUUCUUCUCCUCUUUCCUUUUCUUCUCUCCUUCUCCUCUCUCCUUCUCCUCUCUCCUUCUCUUCUCUCCUUCUCCUAUCUCCUUCUCCUCUCUCCUUCUCCUCUUUCCUUUAACUUUGUUAAUCUAGUUGACUGUAAGGUAUCUUUUGUUAACGGUGUUUCUUGACUAUCCUUCUACUCCAACUCUGAUGCAGUAAGCAUUUUGACUGGCCUGUCACAACGUUUCUCUCAUACAGCGUUUUUACUAUGACCCAAAGGCGCUGGUUAUUUAGCCCUCACCUUUCUCUCAUUUAAGAUCUGUUUGUGAUGAGUAUUAGCCAAGUCCUAUGUUCCUUUGGCUUGACAAUGACCCUAGCAGUUGGUAAGACAGCAGAAGCUGUGCAGCGUCAUGUGGACAGUACUAUAGGUUUGGCAUUGUUAUACUCCUUAUCUGUGGGCAUUUAGUGUUGGGGAUGGCAGUCUGUUACACUCAUUAUCUCUGUGGGCGUUUAGUGUUUUGUCAUUAAAUAUCAAUUCAACUAAACCCUAGGGAACUGUAGAGAGAGGUGCUUAUCCCCAAUUGGGAUUGGUAAUGAUUUUAUUAACCUAUUUUAAAUUGUUGGUCUUGAGCUAGGUGAUAUGGCAACUGCUCAAAUGACGCCAGAUAUUGACCUCCUGUUCAAAAUGGUCAACCAUAGACAUUCUGUUCCACAUGGUCAGUCAUAGACAUCCUGUUCCACAUGGUCAGUCAUAGACAUCCUGUUCCACAUGGUCAGUCAUAGACAUCCUGUUCCACAUGGUCAGUCAUAGACAUCCUGUUCCACAUGGUCAGUCAUAGACAUCCUGUUCCACAUGGUCAGUCAUAGACAUCCUGUUCCACAUGGUCAGUCAUAGACAUCCUGUUCCACAUGGUCAGUCAUAUACAUCCUGUUCCACAUGGUCA
rnacentral:lncRNA from 1 species